rnacentral:rRNA from 1 species
GACGAACGCUGGCGGCGUGCCUAAUACAUGCAAGUUGAGCGCUGAAGGUUGGUACUUGUACCAACUGGAUGAGCAGCGAACGGGUGAGUAACGCGUGGGGAAUCUGCCUUUGAGCGGGGGACAACAUCUGGAAACGAAUGCUAAUACCGCAUAAAAACUUUAAACACAAGUUUUAAGUUUGAAAGAUGCAAUUGCAUCACUCAAAGAUGAUCCCGCGUUGUAUUAGCUAGUUGGUGAGGUAAAGGCUCACCAAGGCGAUGAUACAUAGCCGACCUGAGAGGGGGGUCGGCCACAUUGGGACCGGGACACGGCUCAAACUCCUACGGGAGGGAGCAGGAGGGAAACCUCGGCAAUGGACGAAAGUCUGACCGGGGAACGCCGCGUGAGUGAAGAAGGUUUUCGGAUCGUAAAACUCUGUUGGUAGAGAAGAACGUUGGUGGGAGUGGAAAGCUCAUCAAGUGACGGUAACUACCCAGAAAGGGACGGCUAACUACGUG